UGAGGAAUAUUGGUCAAUGGGCGAGAGCCUGAACCAGCCAAGUAGCGUGCAGGAUGACGGCCCUAUGGGUUGUAAACUGCUUUUAUGCGGGGAUAAAGUGCGCGACGUGUCGUGCAUUGCAGGUACCGCAUGAAUAAGGACCGGCUAAUUCCGUGCCAGCAGCCGCGGUAAUACGGAAGGUCCGGGCGUUAUCCGGAUUUAUUGGGUUUAAAGGGAGCGUAGGCCGCCAGAUAAGCGUGUUGUGAAAUGUACCGGCUCAACCGGUGAAUUGCAGCGCGAACUGGUCGACUUGAGUAUGCAGGAAGUAGGCGGAAUUCAUGGUGUAGCGGUGAAAUGCUUAGAUAUCAUGACGAACUCCGAUUGCGCAGGCAGCUUACUGUAGCAUAACUGACGCUGAUGCUCGAAAGUGCGGGUAUCAAACAGG
rnacentral:rRNA from 1 species